AAGACCUUGCGCUUUUGGAGCGGCCGAUGCCUGAUUAGCUAGUUGGUGAGGUAAUGGCUCACCAAGGCGUCGAUCAGUAGUUGGUCUGAGAGGACGACCAGCCACACUGGGACUGAGACACGGCCCAGACUCCUACGGGAGGCAGCAGUGGGGAAUUUUGGACAAUGGGCGCAAGCCUGAUCCAGCCAUGCCGCGUGAGUGAAGAAGGCCUUCGGGUUGUAAAGCUCUUUCAGUCGAGAAGAAAAGGUCACGGCUAAUAAUCGUGAUCCAUGACGGUAUCGACAGAAGAAGCACCGGCUAACUACGUGCCAGCAGCCGCGGUAAUACGUAGGGUGCGAGCGUUAAUCGGAAUUACUGGGCGUAAAGGGUGCGCAGGCGGCUUUGUAAGUCAGAUGUGAAAUCCCCGGGCUUAACCUGGGAACU
rnacentral:rRNA from 1 species